GGGUGGAAGGGAUCAGGAGGGCUUGCACUGUCGGAAGAAGCCUCCGGCGCACGAUUUGGUUGUAGGUGUCCACUAUGGAUCCGGUGGCUCCUGCUACUUCGGGUCCGGACAGUGUUGUAAAGGAUUUGAUGCUCAAUCCAUAAUAUUAGUUCCUUUUGCAAAGAAUUGAUAAGAAAUUAGACAUGCAACUUAGUCUGAUUUUGUUGUGAAAAGUUGUGCAUAAUUGGAAGGGCCAGGUGUGAAACAGGAAAUAAUAUUGGCAUACAUCAAUGUAAGCACAUUUAUAUUUGCUUCAAUAGUCUGAAUAACCACGCGACAUUCAUCAAACUUUCACUUGGAUCUACUUUCAGAGUGCAUGUCGUGCAACCGAUCUGGCCGCAUGACUCAUUAGAAGCAUAUAUCCGAGUGAUUUAAACAGCAUCAAGAAGAACACCUGUUUCAUUCGGAUCCGACAUCGAUUAUUGCUGUACUUCACUACCUUCCGUGUUAGACAUAUCUGAGCAAUUUAUUCCUAUCUGGUUCCUCACAAUAAGUUUUCUUUUUCAAUCAAGUGUGUGUGUCCCACUUUUCAAUGAACAUGGCAUUAAGCGGACUAGCAACCAUAACCUGCCAACAAAUCUUCUGCAUGUGCAUCUACAUUUUGAUUUUAUGAGGUUUGUAAUUCCUACCUAUAAAUAAUCACUAGUCUGAGUUCCUAGCUCCUAAUAACACCUCAACCUGCAUCUAUAUAUACACACCCAC
rnacentral:lncRNA from 1 species